rnacentral:lncRNA from 1 species
CUGCCUUUUAAACUCUUUAAGGCCGGAAAUACGUGUGGCGAGAUGUUACCAGAGCGAGAAACAAAGGCAAUUAACCGUUUGUAACAUGUCUUAGAUCUUGAGGAAAACUGGAAUUGCAACUUAGGUUUUAUCUACUUUAUGAACUUGCAGCAGCAUGGCAAAGGAGACGGGAUCUUACAGGACUUUGUUACAAAUUUCAAGUGAACCUGGAUAUUUCAAAUAAUCUUUCUUUUGCCGUAAAUUACAAGAUUUUCCAGUUUGACCACUGGCGCUUAACCUAACUACAUACUGAAGGCACUUCAAGCUGGUGUGGGUGGACGUUCUUUCCUGUUGAAAAGAGAACAAAACCCUCAACAAGGAGCAGCUGGAGACAAACUUGGAGCGAGGAAAAGCAGAAAGUGUUGCGAAGCAUAAUCAUUUAAAUCACAGAUUAAGUCAACAUAAUAGCAGAGAAAAUGCAGGAAAUUCAAAAUGUUUGACUAUAGUGGCAACCUCACAGAGUCUUUUCUUUGGGAUCAACAGAGAAAAUGAGCUAAAUGAAUACAAUUUUAUAUCUCCUGACAUAGAAGUAAAGGAUUCAUGAGCAAAUGUUUUAUUUUAUACUAUAAUUUUUAAAAUAUUUCCUUUAAAUACAAAGCCUUAACCAACAAAAUGUAACCAUUAGCUUCAUGAAAAACAAUAAAAA